CCUGCACACACACGCACACACACACACACACACGCACACACACCCCUAUUGAACUUUUUAUUGUCUGAGUUUAAAUCCUUUUGAAUGGAGAAUCUGUCCAUUCUUGACAUUUUAUCUGCUCAACAGUCCCUGUUGAUGUGAGUUUUCCUUUUGAUGGUGCUCCAUGAAUGUUUAAUAAAAAACAGAUCUCAGCGGCAGGCUGGGUCCCUGUGUGUGUGUGUGUGUGUGUGUGUGUGUGUGUGUGUAAGAAGUCACGCUGUUGAGGUCUGACAUCAGCCUGCUGAAACAAACCUCUUGGCAUGAAAACAAAUCUGCUACACCAGUAGGUCAGCUGUGGAUCCUGAUGCUUUAUCAUCUCAUCACAGAAGCUGUUUUUACUUCAUGUUGAGCAUCCUUUCAGCAGCUUAUAGGAGCAUGUGUCUGUUUCUCUUUCUAAAGAGCAGCUGAAAGGUGUCUAUCUCUCCAGAGAGCUCAGUCGUCGUUUCCUUUCCUAUGUAAUAUCUGGAUGUGGUGAUGGAAUCUACACGAUCAUCUUUUAAGGUUUUCCCCGAUGCUUCAACAGCCUGUUUCCUGGGAUUGGGUUUAUGUGGAUUUGAGACUUUUUAGAGGUGUAACAUUAGUCUGAGUCGAGAAGCGGCAGUAGUGCAACGUCACAGGACACAAGCAGCCAUGAAACAGCACAGAAUGAUAAAUGAAUGACCCGCACUUGUAUAGCGCCUCUCAGAAUAAGGACUCCAAAGCGCUUUACACUAUAGUGUAUCAUUCAUCCAUUCACACACUCAUUCACACACUGAUGGUGAUCAGCUACGAUGUAGCCACAGCUGCCCUGGGGCGUGCUGACAGAGGCGAGGCUGCCGAGCACAGGCGCCACCGGUCCCUCCGACCACCACCAGCAGUGGGUUAAGUGUCUUGCCCAAGGACACAGCAGCAGAAUUCUCUCAAAAGAAGCACCAGUUGUCAGAUCCUGCUGUUGUUUACUCCCAGUUGCAUUCAUUGUUAUUGAAGCAUUUUAGACAGGCAUUAUAGCGAAAUUAUACAUUCAAAUUAAUGUUGCAUUUAAAAAAAAUGGUUAGUAGAUUUUUACUAGUUUAGUGUGAAAACUGCAGUAAAUAAACAAAUCAUCAUUUUCUCACGUAGCAAAGUCAGGAUCGAUGCUUUAUAAAUGAUUUGAGUGUUGUGAUGAAUCAGCUGCAACAAAUAGAUUCAAACAUGCUGGUGACUCAUCAGGGUGUGUUUACCUUCCAUCAAUAUGGAAACAGGGAAUGGCUGUUCAAACACACCUACACACACGCCAGUGACCUCACAGUGGGCAGGUCAGUGGGCUGUUAUGAAAACGCAGGCUAGUGUGUGUGCAUGCGUGUGUGUGUGUGUGUGUGUGUGUGUGUGUGUGUGUGUGUGUGUGUGUGUGUGUGUGUGUGUGUGUGUGAGCCUUCCACUGUCACACAUCCAUGAGACCGAUUUAUGAAGCAAACAUAAACUGUGUAUCUAACUAUUUACAUUGAGAGGAAACACUUGUAACCUAAAAUGACCUUGGUGUUGCAGAUCUUGUACUGUCUGGGAUCUCCUGCACACGGCCCACCAACAGGGUUCCUAAAACAGAAACAACAAACUCAGCUAAACGCUUCUGGGCAAAAUUAGAAAAACGUACGCUGCAUAGAAAGUGCACCAAACAUAAAAAUGGUAAAAGUUUAGUCCUAUUUUCUUUCUUGAUCUUUGAUUAUCAGCAAUUGUUCAUAUAUGUUCUCCAUACAAACAUAUGGUAAAUGGUAAAUGGUCUGUAUUUGAUAUAGUGCCUUCUAGAGUCCUGGAACCCCUCAAGGCGCUUUACAACACAAUCAGUCAUUCACCCAUUCACACACACAUUCACACACUGGUGGGGAGGAGCUACAAUGUAGCCACAGCUGCCCUGGGGCGCGCUGACAGAGGCGAGGCUGUCGAGCACUGGCGCCACCGGUCCCUCUGACCACCACCGCAGGCAACGUGGGUUAAGUGUCUUGCCCAAGGACACAACGACAGCGACAGACUGAGCGGGGCUCGAACCAGCAACCUUCCGAUUACUGGGCGAGCACUUAACUCCUGUGCCACCAUCGCCCCAGAUGUCCUCUUAAUUAUGCUGCUGAGGGCAAAAAUAAAACAAUUUCAUUCAAUCAACACAAAAAAGAAAUCUGAUUUGGAGAAAGAAAUAAGUAGCCGAGCGUUAGGGUUCGAUUAAAGAUAGGACUGUCAAUCAUUAAAGAACGCUUUCAUUGGUUUCCUAAUUUUGCUUGAAAAGCUGAAUAAAACACAAACAGAUGACAGAUUUAGAAUGCUAAUGUAAGUUAGAAAGAUGUAUUUCAUAAAUCUUUAAAUAAGUUAUAAAUAAAGUGGGCAUUUCAUCAUCACUUUCCAUAGUUCUGGUUCUUUGUUACCUGGUAAGGCAGGUGCGAGUCCGUACAGAAGCUCCGCCCCCACAACUGCGUGAGCAGACAGACCAGCCGCUCCAUGUGGCCCACUCGUUUCUGAAGUUCAGCUGUCGUCGUGCACGGACAGGAUGUUCUGGUGAGCUGCUAGAACCCCACGCAGAACCCCAGGAGGCCUGAAACAGUGAAAGGAUGGGGAUGGAGCUUCACACAGAUCCAACUGUGGCUUCAGAUCACUGACAUCACACAGACUUCCUGAAUAUUUGCAUCCAGUUUUGACAAGUUCAAAGACUUCAGAUGCCAGACUACGUAUCUUUUCAUAUUGAUCAUUUACUGAUGGGUUUAGAAACUAAAGCUUAGGCCAUGACACACACCUACCUAGAUGAGCUUAAUGUCUUUGUUUGUGACAACUGAUUAGGAGUCAGUCUGAAGCAUUUCCUAUAGCAUAGCAUAGCAUAGUUUAUUUAUAUAGCACAUUUAAAACGCAGCAUGGGAGCUGCCCAAAGUGCUGCACAGGCUAAAACAAAACACAACCAUUCGAAAUAACUAAAACAGAGGAUAAAAAUCCCAAACAAAAGCAGAUGAAUACUAAGAACACUUAAAACAGGGAUUCCCAAAGUGUGGUGCGCGCACCCCUGGAGGUGCGCGAGCUGCCGCUAGGGGGUGCGCGAGGUGAAAAGUGUAAUGGCUGCAGAGCUCAGAGAAGUCUGUCAUAUGUCACCAUUAGCGUAGAAACUCAUUUGUAGGUGGGCCUAAGAAAAAGUAAGUGGGCACAAUAAAUAUAAUUGAAAACAAGUAUAUGUUUGUGAGCGCGUGUAUCCUCCACAUGUGCCCUAGCUUCAUAAUAACAAUGUGCCGAGCUUCAGCACUCUGGCCUGUGCAGCCCGAUAUGUUCCGUAUUUGAUCAUUUUUAACGGUGUUGGAGAAAUCUGAAGGUGGUGAGUUAUUCUGGCAGAUUGUAAUUAACACCUGUCUCAUGCAGGUGUUCUGACAUUGUAAACCUCACACACAGAACAUUGGGGAUGUAACUAAAUAAAUCAAGAAAUGAUUCCCAUUCAGGCUUUUAACAGCGCGCUGAAGAUCUGAAGUUCAGAGUGCGUCUGUCAGAGGUCAGACGCGUUCCAGCAGAACCACGGCUCACGGGUCCACAAGUGAGCACAUCUGGGCUGGGCAGAAGUCAUUUUACGACAUUGGUUUAAAUAGCGCCAAUAACGAGACGCGGUGACUUGAGCGGCUCAUACACACACACACACACACACACACACACACACACACACACACACACACACACACUCACACACACACACACACACACACACACACACACACACACACACACACACACACACACACACACACACACACACACACACACACACACACACACACACACAAACACACACACACACACGCACACACACACACACACACAC